CCUACGGGCGGCAGCAGUGGGGAAUAUUGCACAAUGGGCGCAAGCCUGAUGCAGCCAUGCCGCGUGUGUGAAGAAGGCCUUCGGGUUGUAAAGCACUUUCAGCGGGGAGGAAGGCGUUAAGGUUAAUAACCUUGGCGAUUGACGUUACCCGCAGAAGAAGCACCGGCUAACUCCGUGCCAGCAGCCGCGGUAAUACGGAGGGUGCAAGCGUUAAUCGGAAUUACUGGGCGUAAAGCGCACGCAGGCGGUCUGUCAAGUCGGAUGUGAAAUCCCCGGGCUCAACCUGGGAACUGCAUUCGAAACUGGCAGGCUAGAGUCUUGUAGAGGGGGAUAGAAUUCCAGGUGUAGCGGUGAAAUGCGUAGAGAUGUGGAGGAACACCAGUGGCGAAGGCGACUCUUUGGUCUGUAACUGACGCUGAGGCGCGAAAGCGUGGGGAGCAAACAGGAUUAGAUACCCUUGUAGUC
rnacentral:rRNA from 1 species